rnacentral:tRNA from 1 species
GCCUUGGUGGCUCAGCUGGUAGAGCGUUGCCUCGGUAAGGCAAAAGUCGCGCGUUCGAAUCGCGCCCAAGGCU